GUUGACAACUGCAGAGGGAGAGACAAAGAAGAGAGAGGCGAGGAGGGGGGGUGAGGGAGAAGACGAGGAGACGGGCAGUAUAAUGAGAGGAGAGACAGCAGGAGAGCUCGUGAUGACGGCCUGGAGGACACGCUUCGUGGUGACAGUGUUGUUGGCGUGCAGCUCGGUAUUUAUUCCCUUCUCUGCGUCAUUCUGUGUUGUACUUUUUCACAAUGAAUGAACGAAAAUGUGAUGCCCUCUGAUUGAACGGCGGAUUUUUGUUAAGAACAUGACACAACGAGGUUUGAUACUGUUGUAAAAGAAAAAACAGCAGGCCAGUUCUUAUUAUUUAAAGAUGCACACAAAAACAGUUUUGGCCUGAAUAGUUCAUUUGUUAUGUAAAAACACUAAAGGGGUAGUACACUUUUUUUAAUCACUUAUCUGUCUUGGAGAUCAUAAGACUGUGUGUUACAAAAAGAUUCAUAAAAUAAAGGGCGCAGUAUGGUUUUUCAGUGUUGUGUCCAUAGACUAUAUACAGUAUAUGAUGGACAACUUGGCUCCGCCUUCUGUCAUUAUACGAAUUUGAAGCCGAAUUGCUCUCGCCAUUACCAGGAUUUUCUCCAUUUCCUAGGACCACCACUUGCACAGUAGCGUUGGACUAGGGUGACCGUAUUCUGAAUCUCCUAAUAAAGGGACACAACUAUACAGGGGGCAGAGUCACAUGUCGUUAAUUUUGAGAUUUUUUCGGGUCAGAUCGAGUGUCUUUUACGCGCUUCUAACACAGAAAGUCCACGCAACACAAACUCAAAACUUCCAUACAAAACCCUACACAUUUGAAGUAUUUUAUAAACUCCCCUGGACAGCACCAGACAAGGCCGGGCAGCCCCCUAAAAAGAGGACAUGUUAGGGUAAAAGAGGACAUUCGGCGUAAGCGGGAUUUGUGACCUAUACUGCAGCCUGUCACCAGAGGGUGCUGUUCUUGCGUUGGCUUCACCUGGCCAGGAAGCAGACAGUGUGCAUUCUUUAUACAGCAGGGCUGCCAAGUUUCAGAAAAUAUUAAGAGUGAGUCUUUUUUAAUGUUGAUUUAUACCUUGAAACUUGUGUCCUAGUUACAUACCACCCGCCUUCAGGAGAGCAGGUGUACGUCAAGUGGGUUUUAAAUGUCAGCGCUGUUGUAUGUCAAAGAUAGUUAAAGACACAAAGACCUGCCUUACGUUGCCCCUGAUUGGUUUAUAUUGUGUGGUGCCUUUCAUGGUUGGUUAGAUCUAGGCACAAAGGAUUGAUGGAUUGUUCUGUGAUUGGUUAUCUCGGUCAGUCAAUCAGGGUGACUCGAACUACGGCAAGCCAAGUUUAUUAUCAUGAAAAAAAUAAAUACACAGUAUUGAAUGGGGAAAAAUAAGCGUGAGAAAUGUCAAGUGUGGCGUGUGGUGUGAGAAUGGGUCAAAUUACAUGACAUAGUUUACUAAAAAACGCCUCCAGUGACGUCACUCCACUGCAAAAUCUCUAAUCUCUUAUUUUGUCUCCUUUGUUUUCCGAGAUCCAUAGAUAAUACUUUUUUCUAUCUGUGUAAAGUCGACCAACUUGUACGCAAAAAUAAGGUGAAUAGAGCACAAUUUUACUGAGUGAUUUCGGUUGGCUGGUGCAUUUUUGGACUUUUACAAAAAGGCUGAUUAAAAUUAAUGUGCGAUUUUGUGCACCAGAUGUGGAAAGUAAUUCCAAGUGAGCCGAAAAAAGAAAGACAAAUUGCCCUCAAAAAAAGCAGACUAUUGGGUAAAAGCCUUUACAUGUGUUCCCAGACAACCGCGAGAGAUGAAAGUAUCCAAAAAAUGAAAGAGCACAAAGCAGAUUUUAGAAAAUGCCUUUUUGUGAAGUUAGAGAUUUGAUUUUCUUCUUUAGUGCUAAGCUAAGCUAAUCAUCUCCUCUUUGUCCCCCGAAGUUCAGAGUGAGAUAUAAAGCAAGAGCCGCUGUUUAGGAUUUCACUCCAGUGUGCUCUGAGGCCUCCUGGAGUACCAGUCCAUUAUUGAAUCUUAAUGAGCACACAACAUAAAGGUGAAGAUGUUCAGGGAAAGAGCCAACCUUAAAUAAAAGUGUCACCCAGACCUAACAUGUUACCUUUUGGAACAAUAAGUGAAAUAAUGAAUCAUCCCAAAGUGGUGUAACUCCAUUUUAUAUCCAUUAACAGAGUCCUUCCCUAGCCAGAGACUCCAUAUCAAUUUAUUGGAUUGUUUAAUGUAAUCAUGCAUAAUGCAGAAGGAUUAAUUGGAAAUGGCUGCACCAAGAAGGGACCAAUGCAUUAGGGAGCUACUUAGAAUCAAAAGAGGAUUUGUUAAAUGGUCCUUCGGUCUUGAGAUACAGGCAAAUUAAUUCAAUGGUGGAUGGGAGAAACACUUUUUGGAGAGUGCAUUACCUUAUUAGAAGAUGAAUAGCUCAGCUGUUUCCUGUUGCCCAGAAAUGAAAGGAAGGAAAGUAGUUCAAGGUGUUUGGGGAGACCAAAGCAGAUACUUUAAUUACACCAGUGUUUUGCUUGUUUUUUUCCCUUGUUGGUGAGAAAAUAAUCUAAAAUCAUAAAUAUAAAAUUACUUAAACUUUUGUUGUUGUGAUAUGUGAUGAAAAAAAUCUGGUUGUAUGCAGAAAAUAAGAAAUAAACACAAUGCAGUGUAUAUUUAUGGUGAUUACACCCCCUCUCUUGGCCACUUUACUGGGUUUGAAACGACCUAUGGCCCGGUACCGGUCUGUGGGACCCCUAACACAAAGAGUAUAUGAGCCAAUCUGGGACACCUGCAGCAGAUGCCAACUUAUGAUUCAAUUUAUGUCUCGCUGCUAUUAUAAAGCAGUGGUUAUCUGACAUUGCUGUUUAUACCGACAUUAUGCAGCAUAUGGCUCAAUAAGGACCGUAUCAUCUGAGCUAUAAUGCUGUUUAAUGUCUCUAUCAUUUCAAAUGCACCUCCUGUGGGAACAUUAGCUGGUUAUCUCUUUUUUAAGCGACAUUAUAUGUCUGACCUUUGUGUUUUAUUUAUUCCAUUAUCGCAACACAACAAGCAGACGAACACGGUGUAUAUGUAUCCGCCAUGAAACCCAGGAUAACAAAAGUGGCUCAGGAAAAGCCACAAUUUCUGUCAUCAGUCUCUCCCUGUGUCAUUCUUCCUGUACUUUUCUGUGUCUGGCCUUUUUCGUCCAAGUUUACCAGGAAAUGCCAUUCCCCCAAACUAUCAUCACCAUCAUUCUGGCUGCAGCCAACGUAAUGACUUGACCUCUCAUUAGUUGAAGUCCAUUUGCCGAGUGAUGUAGCAGCUCUGGCCUAAAUAAGGUCGAUCCAUUCUUAACACUGUAUUCAGGUCGGCUUGUUUUGUUCACGGUUGAAACCUAAAGCUGUGUCUGUGGAUGUACAGAAAGCAUCUUUACAAUAUUACAGUGGAACUAAGUGGAAAACACGGGACAGGGGGAGUAUGCUUAACAGUACCCAGAGCAGAGUGAUACAGAAGGCUAUUAUUUGCAAGUGAAAUUGGGCAUAUCUGUGCGAUUUUUACAAGAAAAAUUAUGGAGAAAUUAAUGACACGGGUUAUAGCCAUAAAGAUUAAAACAAAAGCCUGAGCCACAAAGAAGGAAUCUGAUUACAGUGAUUAAUUUGAGAGAUUCAGGGGUGAGGUGCAUAAUAAUUUGGGGUUAAUCACUUUGAGCAUUUAUUACAGAGAGUCAGCGGGAUGAAAACCACAAAUUUUUAAAAUGAAUUGUGGAUGGAUUUUCAUUUUGCUCUAAGUCUCUUGCCAAAAACAUGUUUGAGCAGAGCUACAAAAUACCCUUAUGCCCUUAACUUGGCAAAGGUCGGAGUUGUCAUGCAUGUUCUGGAAGUGCUUCAUUACUGUGAUUAUACUCUUCACGUAAAGCUAACACAGCUGUGCUCAGAAAAUGAAUCUUUGAAAUCCAAUCACAGUGCUCAAGAUGAUGCACAAUGUUGUUUUACAAGAGGGGCUACAUGGACCUUGGUAGGGGUGGGAGAAAAAAUCGAUAGUAUUGUGAUAUUUUGUCUGGUGAUAUUGUAUCACCUCAGUAACCAAGUACUGAUUUUUUCAAAUUAAUUGCUAAUAUGAAGCCAAAUCUAUGAUAAUGGAAAAAUAAAAUCAACUUGUUGUCCAGUGAGGUUGGCAGAGGUGAUACCAUAGAGGAGGAGAAAGUUAGUACAACAAAUAUACUGUAUAUAUAAGGUUUGGAAGAUGUGCUACAUGGAAAUAAAAUACUACAUAACAUAAAGGAAAGACAAAUGCUAAAUUAGCUUCAGGGUUGAAAAAACGGUAUAAAUCACGAUAUAUUGUAUUGCAAUACUCACUGUAUUCCAGAAAUGUAGAAACAAAUCACAAAAAUAUUGUAUCAUGGCUGAAGUAUCAUGAUAAUAUUGUAUCGUGGCCCAAGUAUCGCAAUAAUAUCGUAUCAUGGCUGAAGUAUCGUGAUAAUAGUGUAUCGUAGCCCAAGUAUUGCAAUAAUAUCGUAUCAUUGCUGAAGUAUCAUGAUAAUAGUGCAUUGUGAUAAUAUUGUAUCAUGGCUCAAGAAUCGUGAUAACAGUGUAUCGUGGCCAAGUAUUGCAAUGAUAUCGUAUCACUGCUGAAGUAUCAUGAUCAUAGUGUAUCAUAAUAAUAUCGUAUCGCGGCCCAAGUAUUGCAAUAAUAUUGUACCAUGGGUCAAGUAUCGUGACAAUAGUGUAUCAUGGCCCAAGAAUGGCAAUAAUUUCAUAUCAUAGCUGAAGUAUCGUGAUAAUAGUGUAUCAUGAUAAUAUUGUAUCAUAGCUGAAGUAUCGUGAUAAUAGUGUAUCAUGAUAAUAUUGUAUCAUGGCUGAAGUAUUGUGAUAAUUGUGUAUCGUGAUAAUAUUGUAUUGUGGCCCAAGUAUCGCAAUAAUAUCUUAUCAUGGCUCAAGAAUCAUCAUAAUAUUGUAUCCUGGGGCCACUGGUGAUUCCCACUCCUAGACCUUAGGCAAUAGUCCAAUGCAGAAGCUCUAGUGUUAGGCUACAGAAACACUUCUUGGCUACAGGUUGUGCUGUGACAAACAGCAACUGUCUUUAGCUUUGUGGUGCCAGAAAUCUAGUCCUGAAUGCCAAGACUUCAGGUCAUUUUUCCUGGAAAUUUGAACCUUUAUUCGAACUCCAGGGGGAAAAUUCAUAUCAGAAAGGAAAUGAGCCAUUUAAACUCAUAGGAAUCCAGCAGAUCAACUAUUAUAACAUUGUUUAAAACAUAUUGAUGCAUGACGAUGAAAAAAGUUGCUGGACUCAGAGCAGCCCAUCAUCUGUGCUACUUUAAUGGCAUUUAAAUCGGACAUCUGGCUCAGUCCAAUAAGGUUAAUAUAGUUUAAAGCACUUCAAAUAGUUCCAUAUAUUCAAAGGGGGUGGUGAACAGAUUUCAAAGGUUAAACUCUUUGUUAAAAAAGACCCACACGUCCUCGGUGAACAGGGUAGAUUUUAAAAGAGGCAAAAUUUAAGAUAUAACUUCAAACACAAAAGCAGAAACUCAGAGAAGUCCCACUUGCAGCUGACACGCUCCCUUGAACUCGCUGUGGGUUGUUUUUUCAGGACCCAGCUGCAGUCCUUUGCAGAGAGGACUGAACCUGAGAGACAUGCUGCUGGAGCUUUGACUUCUCUGUGAAGCUCCUUGCAGCAGGUUUAAAGAGGCAGCUGGUGUCUCGGCGUGUGUCGAGUCAGGUCAGUUUUCUUUCCCUCUGCAGCUGAGGGAAUAUCAGAGAGCGGGUUCAGAAAUACCUGCUGAAUCAUUUGCAUUGACACAAUAGUUUUAUCUUCAGGAGGUGCUCAGGAAAAUCAAAUUUACAGAGGCGGAAACAUGCAGAAGAUGGAGAAGAGACGACAAAGAAGGGGGGAGGUAAAAAAGAGGAUCAAGAAAGAGUAAAAGAAACAGCUCAAAGAAGAGGACAGAGGAAAGCAAGAAAAGAGAAAGGAGACUGAGGAAAAAGAGUACAAAGUGGAGAGACGGAAAGAGACAGUGAGAGGGACAGAUAGAAAGAAAAAAGUAAAUCAGAAAAAGGAGAAGAAAGAAAAAGACAAAGUCAAGAUAGAGUGAAAAAGAACAAAGAAAAGAAAUCGAAAAAAAUGAAGAACAUGGACAAAUAAGUAAAGAGAGAGAAAAAGUCACAAAUUGAGAGAGAAAGAAAAAAGAUGAAAGAAAGAAAAAAAGGAAGAAAAAGACAAAAGAAAGAGAAAGAAAGAAAAAAGGGACGAGAUUGAAAAGACAGGGAAUGAAAGGACAGGGGAGAAAAAAGGGGGGAAAAGAGAAUAAAAGGGCAGAGAGAUGACAGGAGAUAUGAAGGCUUCUCAAAAAGCAUAGUAAAAAAGAAACACGACGAAUUGACAAAGAGAAGAAAAGAAGGAAAAAGGGAAAAGCAAAGAAAAGAAAAAGAGAGAAGUGAAGGAAAGAAAGAGGAAAAGGAUGGAGGGGGAAGAUUGAAGAAGGAAAUGAAUAAAAAAAAACAAAAAGAACAUGGAGAAAGAAAGAAAGAGAGAGAAGUCUCAAAUCAAGAGAGAAAGAUAGAAAGAAAAACAAGGAAAAGACAAAGAGAGGAAAAGGGGGAAUAAAGGAAAAGUGAAGAAAAGAAAGAGAGAAGCAAAGAAAAGAAUGAGGAAAAGGAUGGAGGGGAAGAUUGAGGGAUACAUAAGUAAAGAAAGACAAAAAGCAUGGUAGAAAGUAAACAAAAGAGGAGGUUUUUUUCUGACCCUGAUGCCUCUUGUCUACAGUGUCUAAUACUGGGUUGAAGUUCUCCUAUGAUCCCCUUUCAGAGCUGCUCUCAGAGGCGGGUCCGUGUUUCAGGGUGCGGUGUUCGAGCAAAAAAGAAUGAGGAUAAGGCAUUUCUUUGAGUAAAAUACUUUCUCACUUGUGGCAUUUACAGUCGGCUUUGUCUUACUCAUUUAAAAUACAUUUUUGUUGACGCCAAGUUUCUGUUUUUUUUUUUCUCAGAUCCUCAUCCUAUGGCUCAAAGCCCCCCGAGGGAGAGUUUCGUGUAAUUACCA